rnacentral:lncRNA from 1 species
CUCGACUCUCACCCUCUCCGAAGGCUAGCAAGAAGGGUUCAGAUUUCAAAUGUAAAAGAUUUGAUUUUUGGUUGAUUUGGAGUUUCUGAAGUUUAUUGAUGAAGGCUGUCGAUUGUUUUUCUUUUGAACUGAUCUUUCUUUUCUCAUUCUUUGGUUUAAAGAAGAAUUGGUCUGUGAGUUCUAUGAAUGUUCAAGUUUUCUGUGUUUUCAUGGUUGUUUGGCAGAAUAUUAAUGAGCUUGACUAUUGUUG